rnacentral:rRNA from 1 species
UACGGGGGGGGUAAGCGUUGUUCGGAAUUACUGGGCGUAAAGGGCUCGUAGGCGGCCAACUAAGUCAUACGUGAAAUCCCUCAGCUUAACUGGGGAACUGCGUGUGAUACUGGAUGGCUUGGAUUUGGGAGAGGGAUGCGGAAUUCCAGGUGUAGCGGUGAAAUGCGUAGAUAUCUGGAGGAACACCGGUGGCGAAGGCGGGUCUCUGGGCAUUUCCUGACGCUGAGGCGCGAAAGCGUGGGGAGCAAACGGG